GACACCAUGAGGAGGAGAAUCCAGGACAUGUCUGAGGACAACGCGGCAGACAUCAGAGCACAUCAGUGCAAAUGCCCAUUACGCACUGCAGCUUGAUGAAUCCACAUGUUCGGGUGGCUAACCAUGCAAUUCUAAUGGUCUAUGUCAGACACGUCUGGGAUAAUAACUCCGAGGAGCAGUUUCUUUUUAGUGCUGAUUUGCCCACCACCACCUCCACCACUGCAGAGGCUGUAUUUAACACAAUGGAACCUGAGCCCUAGGACCAUGCCUCAGGACUACCUGGCCUGAUGACUCCUUGCUGUCCCCAGUCCACCUGGCCGUGCUGCUGCUCCAGUUUCAACUGUUCUGCCUGCGGCUAUGGAACCCUGACCUGUUCACCAGACGUGCUACCUGUCCCAGACCUGCUGUUUUCAACUCUCUAGAGACAGCAGGAGCAGUAAAGAUACUCUGAAUAAUCGGCUAUGAAAAGCCAACUGACAGUUACUCCUGAGGUGCUGACCUGUUGCACCCUCGACAACCACAUGUGAUUAUUAUUAUUUGACCCUGCUGGUCAUCUAUGAACAUUUGAACAUCUUGGCCAUGUUCUGUUAUAAUCUCCACCUGGCACAGCCAGAAGAGGACUGGCCACCCCUCAUAGCCUGGUUCCUCUCUAGGUUUCUUCCUAGGUUCUGGACUUUCUAGGGAGUUUUUCCUAGCCACCGUGCUUCUACACCUGCAUUGCUUGCUGUUCGGGGUUUUAGGCUGGGUUUCUGUACAGCACUUUGAGACAUCAGCUGAUGUAAGAAGGGCUUUAUAAAUACAUUUUAUUUGAUUUGUUUUCUUCUAUUUUAAACACUGGUAUGUGUUACUGUUCAUUAACAUUAUUGGACUGGUUUUGAUGCCAUGUUCUGAGUCUGAUCAUUUAUUACACAUACUCCUGAACUGGUUGCCUAAUUAAAUGGCUUAUUCUCUUGAAUUGAUAAUAAAUGUUUUCUCGGCUAAUAUGUCUGUGUAAUGACUUUCUUUAAUACCAUAAUAGUAGCCCAUUGAGACAGAGUCUAUUUUGCAAGUGAAGCCUGACCAAGACGGAAGCUGCAAUACAACAUUACAAAAUGUAAACAGUCCAUAAUAUUUGGUCGUGACUCAAUUGUCA
rnacentral:lncRNA from 1 species